GCCCGCCGCCAGCCAUGAAGCUCUUUGUCGUCCUGUGUUUGGUGGCCGUGGCCGCGGCCCGGCCCGACAAAUCCGCCAGCAUCCUCACUCAGGAGAACGACCUGCGCAGCGACCAAUCCUACGACUUCCAGUUCGAGACCUCCAACAACAUUCUGCGCGAGGAGUCGGGAAUCUCGUACCCGGGCGCCCGAGCCGGA